UGUGUCCAGAUGUGUGUACGUGUCUGCCACUUACACCUCAUAUUAUCAGUUGACUUCAGAAACUGCUGUACCACAUCUAACUCGGCUCUCUUACGGUUCGGACCGGUGCAAGAAGCGCCCCCGGGGGAAAGAUUCCGCGUAGACGCAGCUAAGGGCAAAAAAAAAAACUAUUUCGAAUCAAUUCAGCAACCAAACGAAAAGCGAAAAAAAAAACGUUUAAAACGAAGUUUAAAAAAAAUAUCCAAAAUUUUCCAAAGCAUACUUGGAGUGGCAGCAAAGCGUGGCGUGGAUUAAGAAAUUAAAACGAAAAACCCAUUUUCUCCCCAAAAACACAACACAAAACUCAACACCAUCAUCUCUCACCAUCAGCAGCAAUAGUACCGGGAAGAAGCAGUGUCGUCAAUAGCAUAACUGUGAAAUAGAAGCAGCAGCAGCAGUAGCAGCGGCAGAAGAAGCAAAACACAAAAUCAAAGCAAACAGUGUUUAAACAACCGACUACGAAGCAGAUAGAGCCGGAGAGUCGUCGGAGGCGCGCGCAAAAACCCAGCACAGAUCAGAUCAUCAGUUCCAUCACAACAACAGGAAAGCGAAGUAAAAUCGUAUCAUCAGCUCAAAAUCUACACUCAGUACUCAGCGAAGCGAGAAGCAAAAAAGAGCGGCAAGUGGCUAGUGUGAAGGCAGCACUUGCUCAGAGCACAAUACAAGGCGCAAAGCAGAAAAAAGGAUACCAAAGCAACCAUCGCAACGUCGCUCGCUGCAAGGGUGCGCGGGUGAUCAUCGCAAAUCCUCCGCAGCAAACCGAUCGACAUCAUCGGCCGUAGUGUGAACAUCUCAAACGGAAUCAGCGAAUUGCCUUGGAUUACCCCACUCAACUCCGGCAAAAAUAUAUCCGGUCCGGUGCAGUUGUGCGCCGAGAGUGUGAAGCGGCUUAAUUAAGUGCGUGCGUGUGUGCGUGUGUGUGUGACUAAAACGGGUGUCGUCUAGGGCCGUACAACAUAGGACCCCGGACAGGCUUCAAUAAGUAGGAGAAGAAGUAGAAGCAGAAGAAGAACCAGCAGGCAGGAGUGCAAAAAACAACAGCAUGUUCCGACCCAACACCACCAUCACCGGAACGGAUUCGCUAACCAUCCCCCUACGCACGUUCGUCAUCAGUGGUGCCUUGGGAGAGUGCGUCUCCACCACCUGCGUCGCGUCAGUGUUGCGACGAUAGAAAAAAACGACGUUGUUCUUGGUUUUACAAACAAACAAUACCAACUUACGAUACAAUGCAUUUCAUUUCGAACUCUUUCGUUGGCUCGGUGCGUAGCAUUAAACGCACCAACCACUAACCACUCAAUACUAUAAAACGACUAUAUAACAGUGUGUGUGAAAUGUUCUCAAAAAGCGGCAAAAAGCGGACUCUUGUAAUAAGAUAGUUGUAUAAAGCAAAAAAAAAACCUAAAUAUAAAUAUUAUCGUAUCGCAUUAAAAACUAGACACCUACACCAAUCGUGUAAACGGGAAAUCGUUCCACUAAACCCAAACUCAAAAGCCUGCUGCUACUGGCUAAACCAUCCGGGGAACCAAUCGGAGAUCCGGAUAUAACCAUCGCUUCCGGAACGAUACCGAUAGUGUGUGUGUGUGUGUAUGCGUGUGUGUUCCGGGGAUCAGUAGCAGCAGCAAAAGCAAAAAAGGGGAGCGAGGUUGUAAUAAUGUGCAAUUUGAAGCCGGCAUAAGGUAGCAGCAGCCAAGCAAGAGAAGAGAAGAAGCAAAAAAAAAACGUCUCUCAUCGUAACAACAUCAUGCCGGCGUGCGCCUUGGGCUUUAACGAUUGGAAGAAACAGUUGCGUUCAAAUCUGUUGCCAGGGUUACUAAGGGACGAUCGACGUCGGUCGCCAGUGCCCGUGAGUGAAAAACUAUGUGAAACGAACCUUGCUGCCAGCAGCAAGCGUCGAAGAAAGAAGCAGCAUCAGCAGCAUCAGCAGCAUCAGUGUCUGGUGUACGUCACUGAGCAGAUAAUGACGAUUGGUUAAACCUCGCGCAAAAGCAACCAACAACGGUCGUCCGCGCGACGUCCCCGGACGAGUGCGUGUGUGUGAGGUCUGAUUGAUCGACAUUUUCCCGAUGAUCCACGGCCAUAGACGACGAGCAGAUGCGGUUGUCGGUUUAGGCGUGAUCACACUACGAACCAGUUUAUCAUGUUAUUCCCCCACACGAGACACGUGCAGCGUCGUCGUCAUUGCCAGCGUGGACCACUCCGGUACCAUCUUACCACCGGCCGCCGAGACGGCGGUUUGUUGUCAUCGGCAUCGUCGUCGUUUGCCAGCUAGUGCGAGUCCUGGCGAGGGCCGUCGUCGUCGUUGUCGUCGUUGUCGUCGUGUGUGUGUUUUCCUUUCGGUGCCCCAACCCUCAUCCCUCCGUCCAAGAGGAAGUUCUUCAGUUCAGCGAGUCGCUAGGUACUCGGGCAAUUUUUUACUAAUGCAAAAACGCCAUUCGCCGGUGAGAGGUCAAACCAACCACCA